rnacentral:sRNA from 1 species
UAAAACAAGAACCUUAGUUGUUAAAGAAAUCCAAAACCGCUAGAAGUAUCAAAGUGUUGAGAAAGCUUCUCCUAGAGUUAAGAGAAAAGAAAAGAAUGAUCUGAAAAAGGGUUUAAAAGAUUCAUGAAUGUAAAGGGUAGAAUUAAGUUCUUCUUUUGGGAUUGGAGAUGGGAUUACUAUUAGAGCUUCAUUUGCUAUACUUUGGGUAGAUGGGAUCUUAUCUCUGUACGCUUAACUUGGGACUUACCUUUAGCAUUCUACUAAAGCUCAAUCAUUCUUGAGAGAUCCCGUGUUACUAAAGCCUAUUCUUUAAGGGACCAUCUUUUUCUCUUGACCUUCACCUUAGCCAAAUGAGUUCAUUGAUGAUGCAUUGCUUGAUUUACGUUCCAGAACUAAAGAAUGUUAAAGGGUUUGGUAGAUUUUAAAGCAUGUGUAGGUCGAGUAUAAGAGACGGAUUGAAUCAUAACAAGGCAUGGCUAACGUUUUUGAGUAGAAUUAGAUCAUAUCGCAUCUUAGAACUACCAACUUGGACAUUGAUUUU